rnacentral:lncRNA from 7 species
CCUUUUGGAGUCUUUGGUGAGCCCAGGACAUGCAUAACCUUUCCAUUCAUCCCUAAUUAUUCCUUUCUAACACGAUAAUUUCUCUAGCCUUCAAUCUGUAUGCUUACUGACCCUACACUUGACAGGUUGACCAUGCCUAUGAAGGAAUGUCUGUUGCUGAACCUGCCUGACCUUCUCAUCAACAAGGGACAGAAGACAGUCUGACCUUGAGACAUCCAAGGUCAGGAUGGAUCAGGCUCUGAGCAAUCUGAUGUAGCUGUGGAUUUCCCUGCCUAUUGCAGGAGAGUUGGACCAAAUGACCUUCAAAGGUCUAUUCCAACUCAAUUCUAUGAUUCUAUAAAAGAAUAUGAAUGUUACCUCACAUCUCAAAUGGAUACUUCUUGUUGUUUGGAGCAGCUCAACAGCUUGUGAAGAAGGUAGAAGCUGUUCCAGCCCAGAACAAACUUCAGAGGCAGUAAGAUCUUCUGUUGAGAGAUGACUAUGAAAUGAAGGGUAAUUAUUUGGAUCCUGAUCCCAAAAUGUCAACACCUUUAAAUCUACAAAAAUAGGGAACUUCUUUAUCCCAUCUACUUGAACAUUAUUCAAGGUCAAGUAACAGAAGAACAAGACAGAUACAUCCUAGGUACCAAAGAUUAGAACUUACAUUACUAGAACAAAGUAGCUGUAUAUCAGUCUGGUUUAACGAUGGAAGUUUUGGAAGUUCUAGUUGGAACAUACAGGGAUACUGAAGCAUUAUGAAUACAGAGAAAAUGUCUGAGAUUCAAAGGAAGAAUGGAGGAAAUAUACUCACUUCAUCACUGAGCAGAGAGAGGUUCAGCCGUGAGUUACAGGUUUUGGUGUCCAAAAGUUGAGAACUCAGCAUUAUAAAACCAGGGCUGGUUGUCAGCUCUAAUUUAGGUAGAUGUAGACAGUUUUAUACAGCAGCUUUGUGGCCUGGAGCUGUCUGUCUUGCAGUCAGAGGCCCACUGUGUCAGCUGCAUGUCCUUGAACAUUUCAGGUAGAAAAUAGCUCUGGGAAUUGCCAUCCUCUUGGACUUCAGACACUUAAUAAGGACCAUUCAUUCUCCAAGGGGAUCACAACCUGAAAUCCUGCUGAAAGACUGGUGCUACAACAGAGGACAAAGAGAGAGGAAAAGAGCUAGGCAGCUUCCCAGUCCCUUUGAACUUCCUAUUUUGAAACAGUCAUGAACUGAAUUUUUCUACUAUGGCUCUUUGUAUGGAUGUGAACAUCAGUCAAGCACUCAUGAGGAGGAAAACAUCAGCAAGAAAGUUCCCGAGUGAAAUUAACUGCUGUAUUGAGCAAAGCAUAUGCUGCUUGGGAGACUUUGACAGAGAGAAGGACAUAAAACAAAUGGAGUUCAUGAAUAUACAAUUUUUAUUGUACACAGUAGUGACAUCCAAACUUCAGAGAAUAGGUGGGUGAGACUUAUGCUUUACUAUUGAGAUUAAUGGGUACGUAAAAAAGUGCCAACAGAGAGUACUACAGUUUAUGUUAAAAAUGUCGAUGUGGAUAAGAAUAAUUUUCUUCUCAAGAUGAAUGAUAGAUUUAAUGGCUGUGAGACAUUCAUGCCCAGUAGCAGUUCCUCAAAAGUAAUUUUUUGUUGUUAUUGUAAAUUAUAUAAUCUUAACUGCAAUUAUAGCCCUGUUUAGGUAAAGGUCAAGUUAGUACAGUGGAUGGUUAUAAACUAAGAGUGAAAUUGGUAAAUUUAUUCCCUCGAUGAAAGCCUAUGAAUGAUUUUAAGCAAGAUAAUUUUUUGUAACUCUAUUUCAACUUUAAUGUAAUAUAGCAAGUAAAGACAGCACACAUUAACAAAGGGUAAAUUAGAUUUGUCUAAGUAAACAUGUAUCUGCAAUAGGAGUAGUGUUGCUGUAGUAAGGACAGUCUGAAGGUUAAGCUCUCCAUGUAAAUGGUAUAGAUUCAUUUUUGUGGAAAGCAAAAGAAGGGACAACCUCUGAAAAAUUGCCUUUGAUGGAAUGCAAUCUGUCCUCUCCUGAGCAGCACACAAAUACUCUGUAACAUAUGAAACUGUACCCACCUCUCAGUCACAAGAAAUUGGUUUGAGUCCUUUUGAUUUCAAAAGCAUUCCCUUAAAACAGUGCAAUUGUUUCUUCAGCCCCUUCAGAUGGAACAGAUUUGUUUUGUUAGUAAAGAGGUUAAAAAACAAGAUGGAGAAUGUUCUACAUUUGGUAAUGAAGGAUGUUUGCUAAAGUAAGAGCAAAUUUUUUUUGUUUCAUUUUUUUUGUUUGUUUCAAAGUAAAAAAUGGAUAUAGUAAUAAGUCUGCUUAUUAUAUAUAAAUAAAACUGUUU